rnacentral:rRNA from 1 species
CUGGCUCAGGACGAACGCUGGCGGCGUGCCUAAUACAUGCAAGUCGAACGGCUUUUCUAUGGAAGCUUGCUUCCACUGAGAAGAUAGUGGCGAACGGGUGAGUAACACGUGGGUAACCUGCCCAUAAGAGGGGGGAUAACAUCCGGAAACGGGUGCUAAUACCGCAUAGUUUUCUUGGUCGCAUGAUCGGGAAAGGAAAGACGGCCUUUGUGCUGUCGCUUAUGGAUGGACCCGCGGCGUAUUAGUUAGUUGGUGAGGUAACGGCUCACCAAGACGAUGAUACGUAGCCGACCUGAGAGGGUGAUCGGCCACAUUGGGACUGAGACACGGCCCAAACUCCUACGGGAGGCAGCAGUAGGGAAUCUUCCGCAAUGGACGAAAGUCUGACGGAGCAACGCCGCGUGAGUGAAAGAAGGUUUUCGGAUCGUAAAACUCUGUUGUCAGAGAAGAACAAGUUGGAGAGUAACUGCUCCAGCCUUGACGGUAUCUGACCAGAAAGCCACGGCUAACUACGUGCCAGCCGCCGC